rnacentral:rRNA from 1 species
GAUGAACGCUAGCGACAGGCUUAACACAUGCAGGUCGAGGGGCAGCACAGGUAGCAAUACCGGGUGGCGACCGGCGCACGGGUGAGUAACGCGUAUGCAACUUACCUAUCAGAGGGGGAUAACCCGGCGAAAGUCGGACUAAUACCGCAUGAAGCAGGGGCCCCGCAUGGGGAUAUUUGCUAAAGAUUCAUCGCUGAUAGAUAGGCAUGCGUUCCAUUAGGCAGUUGGCGGGGUAACGGCCCACCAAACCGACGAUGGAUAGGGGUUCUGAGAGGAAGGUCCCCCACAUUGGUACUGAGACACGGACCAAACUCCUACGGGAGGCAGCAGUGAGGAAUAUUGGUCAAUGGCCGAGAGGCUGAACCAGCCAAGUCGCGUGAGGGAUGAAGGUUCUAUGGAUCGUAAACCUCUUUUAUAAGGGAAUAAAGUGCGGGACGUGUCCCGUUUUGUAUGUACCUUAUGAAUAAGGAUCGGCUAACUCCGUGCCAGCAGCCGCGGUAAUACGGAGGAUCCGAGCGUUAUCCGGAUUUAUUGGGUUUAAAGGGUGCGUAGGCGGCCUUUUAAGUCAGCGGUGAAAGUCUGUGGCUCAACCAUAGAAUUGCCGUUGAAACUGGGGGGCUUGAGUAUGUUUGAGGCAGGCGGAAUGCGUGGUGUAGCGGUGAAAUGCAUAGAUAUCACGCAGAACCCCGAUUGCGAAGGCAGCCUGCCAAGCCAUUACUGACGCUGAUGCACGAAAGCGUGGGGAUCAAACAGGAUUAGAUACCCUGGUAGUCCACGCAGUAAACGAUGAUCACUAGCUGUUUGCGAUACACUGUAAGCGGCACAGCGAAAGCGUUAAGUGAUCCACCUGGGGAGUACGCCGGCAACGGUGAAACUCAAAGGAAUUGACGGGGGCCCGCACAAGCGGAGGAACAUGUGGUUUAAUUCGAUGAUACGCGAGGAACCUUACCCGGGUUUGAACGCAUUCGGACCGAGGUGGAAACACCUUUUCUAGCAAUAGCCGUUUGCGAGGUGCUGCAUGGUUGUCGUCAGCUCGUGCCGUGAGGUGUCGGCUUAAGUGCCAUAACGAGCGCAACCCUUGCCACUAGUUACUAACAGGUAAAGCUGAGGACUCUGGUGGGACUGCCAGCGUAAGCUGCGAGGAAGGCGGGGAUGACGUCAAAUCAGCACGGCCCUUACAUCCGGGGCGACACACGUGUUACAAUGGCGUGGACAAAGGGAGGCCACCUGGCGACAGGGAGCGAAUCCCCAAACCACGUCUCAGUUCGGAUCGGAGUCUGCAACCCGACUCCGUGAAGCUGGAUUCGCUAGUAAUCGCGCAUCAGCCAUGGCGCGGUGAAUACGUUCCCGGGCCUUGUACACACCGCCCGUCAAGCCAUGGGAGCCGGGGGUACCUGAAGUCCGUAACCGCGAGGAUCGGCCUAGGGUA